rnacentral:lncRNA from 1 species
AUUCAUCUAUAUAUAUUCAUAUCAUAGCAUCAAACCAUACAUAAGUCCUUCACAACAAUCUCAGCUUUCACUUGUUACAAACAACUUAGAAUCUCCACUAAACUCCCUCGAUCGAGUAAGAAAAAUCCUGCCUGAACCAUGGCCUUACGCAUGCUUCGUAAUAUUCAUUCCAAGAAUUUUCUUAGAUGGUCUUCAUUGAUGAGAAACCAAACAACGUUAGAUAUUCCUAAAGGUCAUUUUGCUGUUUAUGUCGGAGAGGGUGAUAAGAAGAGAUUCCUUGUUCCAAUAUCAUACUUGAACCAGCCUUUGUUUCAAGAUUUGUUAAGUCAAGCUGAGGAAGAAUUUGGUUUUGAUCAUCCAAUGGGUGGCCUCACAAUUCCCUGUAGCAUGAAUGUAUUCAUUGAUGUCACUGCUCAACUGAGUGUAAUGUAGAAAGCAAUUUUGUAAAUUAGAGUUGUACAUUUUAACUUAAGUGGAGAAUUAUGUUGAUAAAAACCUUUGGGAGGAAAAUAAUGUUCCCCCAUGAAAGAAAUCUUUUCUGUUAGAAAAAUGAAGUUGUAACAUAUUAUAUUUUUCGAAAUGGAUUCCAUUCUUCAGCCUCACCCUCUCUUUUCUGCUCAAUUAUUGUGUUUGUAUCGAUAAUGCUUUGUACAUUUUUUUAUUUAAGGGUUGUUUGACAAAA